CCUACGGGAGGCAGCAGUAGGGAAUCUUCCGCAAUGGACGAAAGUCUGACGGAGCAACGCCGCGUGAGUGAUGAAGGCUUUCGGGUCGUAAAACUCUGUUGUUAGGGAAGAACAAGUACGAGAGUAACUGCUCGUACCUUGACGGUACCUAACCAGAAAGCCACGGCUAACUACGUGCCGGCAGCCGCGGUAAUACGUAGGUGGCAAGCGUUAUCCGGAAUUAUUGGGCGUAAAGCGCGCGCAGGCGGUUUCUUAAGUCUGAUGUGAAAGCCCACGGCUCAACCGUGGAGGGUCAUUGGAAACUGGGGAACUUGAGUGCAGAAGAGAAAAGCGGAAUUCCACGUGUAGCGGUGAAAUGCGUAGAGAUGUGGAGGAACACCAGUGGCGAAGGCGGCUUUUUGGUCUGUAACUGACGCUGAGGCGCGAAAGCGUGGGGAGCAAACAGGAUUAGAUACCCUGGUAGUCCACGCCGUAAACGAUGAGUGCUAAGUGUUAGAGGGUUUCCGCCCUUUAGUGCUGCAGCUAACGCAUUAAGCACUCCGCCUGGGGAGUACGGUCGCAAGACUGAAACUCAAAUGAAUUGACGGGG
rnacentral:rRNA from 1 species